UAUUCUGAGCCUUCAAAAUUGAAAUUAUUUUAUAUUUUGGAGUAAUACUUGAUGUUCUAAUGGUAUGAGAACAUUGAGAUUCCACUUGCUUUCUGGGUUGCCGCUUUUAUGUCAUAGCUUCGUGCUUCUUACUCCUGAAGAUGUCCCAAACUGGGGACGGAAUAUAGAGUAUGAAAACGAAUUGACCUUCAUUUCGCCCUACCAAUAAAACCUAUAUUUCUUCUUCAGGAAGAAGUCAAUAUAUAUAUAUAAAUAUAGCUUUAAUACAA